GGGGAUGACGGUCAAGUCAUCAUGGCCCUUAUGUCCAGGGCGACACACGUGCUACAAUGGCCGGCACAGCGGGAAGCGAGGGGGCGACCUUGAGCGGAUCCCUCAAACGACCGGUCUCAGUUCGGAUUGCAGUCUGCAACUCGACUGCAUGAAGUUGGAAUCGCUAGUAAUCGUGGAUCAGCCAAGCCGCGGUGAAUACGUUCCCGGGCCUU
rnacentral:rRNA from 1 species